rnacentral:rRNA from 1 species
UGAUACGCGAAGAACCGUUUACGGGGUUUGACAUGCAGGUGAUCGCCGUUUGAAAGACGGUUUUCCUCUUCGGAGGCACCUGCACAGGUGCUGCAUGGCUGUCGUCAGCUCGUGUCGUGAGAUGUUGGGUUAAGUCCCGCAACGAGCGCAACCCUUAUCCCCAGUUGCCAUCAGGUAAAGCUGGGAACUCUGGGGAGACUGCCGGUGAUAAACCGGAGGAAGGCGGGGAUGACGUCAAGUCCUCAUGGCCCUUACAUCCCGGGCUACACACGUGCUACAAUGGCAGGUACAGAGGGCUGCGAAGCCGCGAGGUGGAGCGAAUCCCAGAAAACCUGUCUCAGUCCGGAUUGAAGUCUGCAACUCGACUUCAUGAAGGCGGAAUCGCUAGUAACCGCGAAUCAGCAGGUCGCGGUGAAUACGUUCCCGGGCCUU